GGACCAGCGGUGCGUAGGUCCACACCCAGGAUCAAAGUGAACCCCAGGCCGCCAAAGCAGAACGUGCGAAUUAACCGCUGAGCCACUGGGCCGGCCCCCCUAAACUUCUUUCAAAUAAGCAUUUCUAAAAGCUAUGAUGGAGUUACGAUGAGCAGUUGACGCACAGGACAAUGGGAGCUUGGCAACCACUCACACAACAAACAGCUCGCUCUGCGGCCUGCAGCUUAAGCUGCGCUUUCACCCUGCCAAAAGGGGCUUGCAAUCUCUGAAAAACACCUCGUUGCUGUCAGGCUGGAAUUCAAUCUCAAUGCCUUUCGAGGCACGCUCUCUCAAGUUGGUAACCGUAACAGAAACAACAAAGGUGGUAGAAUUAUGGAACCUGUAACCAAGACCCUCUCAAGAUCCAAGAGUGGCGGACUGGCCAAUCACCGGCUCCCACCUCACACCCUCGGAGACUCUGUCUCCACCCACAGCUCUGGCUGUUGAGUUUGUACCACGUGGCCACUCACCCCACACACACCUCCUCUUGAACCAAGGUGAACACAGCCUGAAGCAGGAAGACGAAGAGGGGUGUAUCACCAGGAAAGAUCAGAGAAAGGCACUGCUGGAGCCGGGUCCCAAAGCAGAGCAAAGCUACAAUGUACCUGGAGCAGAGAAGCCCUGAGUGAGCACAGACAGCGGGGCUGUGGAGGGGACAGUAAAACCGGAUCACACUCACCGAGAGGCAGGGCCAGGGGCCUUGAGGACCCAGGAGAGGCUGAGAGAACUUUCUGGUUCCAGGGCCAUGUAGCCUGGUGAGACUUUGCUUCCCGUCUUUAGUGAGACUCCCCGCCAUAUCCUUACAGCAAAUCUACUUUUAUUUCAGCUAGCCUCCGAGGCUUCCUUUCUUCUAACUCACCACCACCUGAGUCCGAAACCCUCAUCCUCAGCUGCUAUGGACGAGAUCACUGAGGACAGUGAGGUCACACUGCCGGCUGUGAUCAGUCAGUUCUAGGACCCAGUUUGCCUGAGUCCCUAUUUUGCUGUGCUACCUGCUCUCCUUUGUGUAUCAGCGGGCCCUGAAAAAGUUAGAUCGGAAUAUUAAGCAAUAUUUCAACACUGGCUUGGUUUAUUAUGAAAGCCUUAAGUUAAACCAAGUCUGUCCCCACAGAAAGAUGCACCCAGUACGAAUGCUUGCUUUCUGGAGGUUCGACUUGGCCAAGGCUUAACAUUCCAAAAAGAAGAGUGGCCGAAAAAACCAUUUACAUUUACAAGAUAAAUAACUUAGACCCCGCUUCUCGGUGAGAUCAGGCCCAGCGUGUGCACCCGUUUCCCUUCUUGGACUCCGUGUUGCACCGGAGUGUUUACAUAGACACAUCAACAAUUUAAUUAAGCCAAAUUUAACAUUUCUGUCAAGUUGACUUUUACAAAUAUUACCUUUAGACAUAUCCUAAGCCUUCAAGAGGGAAGACAGUGGAAGUGAUAAGAAAACAGAAGAAUGUGUCAUAGGGGGCAGUUCCACAGCUUCCUGUGUACGUCCUCUGCAUGACGGUGAAGGGGACGUGUGUGGGUGAUGGCUCCCCAUAUACCUGGGGGGCUCUGCCACCUGCAAGACGGGACGCAACAAAACCCCUCUUGUGAGCCAGGAGCCUUUUUAAUCUUUCCUGAAUGUUAACAAUACGGAAAGCAGACACAGAAGAUGUUUUGAACACUGAGGAACGUGCACUGGCCUGGCCUUCGGCGCUGUGAGCCUUAGAUUUGAAGCUAGGCUGUUUGAUCAGCUGCAUCUGGGAGGUUAACCUGGUGCCAGAUGACCUAGACCGUCAGGGUAGGUUGGUUCUGAACUCCCAAAUGUUGUGGUUUGGCUAAAAGUGAGCUCUAGGGGUCUUCCUUGGGGUUGACCUGAGAUUUUCUCUAGACUUGGUCUUCCAGUAAUUCCACCAGCUGGGCAGCUUUAGCAGUUGGAGAAGGCACAGAAAUGAAGUACAGUAUACACAUAAAGAAUAUGUAGGUUUGUUAAAAUUUGUCAACCAAGAAUAGAUCUCUAUUAUUAAAGUUUUGGUAAACCUUCAGAAAAAGUUUAAAGUUUGGUUGAAUUAAGCCAAACAAUUAAAGAUAUCAGAAUAAUAUGUUUGUUUUUUCCCUAUUUCUAAGAAACACUAAAAAUUACAACAAUAAAAUCUCUAUUAUAAAUUUUAGGAUACCACAUAUACACUGAAGAGUAUAUCUUUCACAGUGUCAGAAAACCCAACUCUUUUACAUAGUUAGAACAGAAUUAAAAUUCUGGUUUGGUUCUCUCACAAACAAAAUUAGGUAUAGCAUUUAUUGUGUUUAAAUAGUUUUACAUUAUUAAAAUGUUUUCAAGGAGUCCAGUGGCCUGACAUAAAAAUGUUCUGACAUGUUGCUUCACAAUGCAAUGUAUUUAUUACACUUUCAUUUAUUGACCAGAGUGUGAUUUCUGAGACUGUACCUAUUUCCCCUCUCUGUGCUUCCCUGGUACACACAUUACAGACCAAAUGGGGAAAGUCUUCGUCAUCGUGAAAGCACACACUGUAAGAAAAGUAGGACACAGUAGGAUAAAUGUGACCUCAGGACAGUAAACAUUUCCCAGCCCUGAAACUAUGACAAGGGACCCAACGGCAGUGGUAGUGCUCCUGCCCAGUACUGACCCCCAGCAUCCCUGAGACCCCGAGUUCAGUCUGGAAUACCAGUGGCCUCUAAAGGAAGUUGAGUGCCUUAGGGGUAGCAGAUUCUAUGAGUGGGGCAGGAAGAAAAAAUCAUAAUGGGUCUGGAAGAUGCAGUUGUUUUCAGAUAGCAUGGAUGCUUUUAGAAACGUCAGAGUCCUAAAAGUACAUGGGUGUCAACAUCAAGGCACUUCCUACUGACCAAGUUGUGACAUUGUGAGCAUCAAACAUAAGCACAGCAAAGUAGUCAUAACUCAAAAGUGGGCGGUGAUAGAAGUUUAAUUUUUUUAAUAAGUAGGGGACCAUUCAUAUUGAGUAUUUUAUUUCUUGUAAUAAUUAUGUCUGUUUAUAAUAUUUACAUAUAUAGUUAUUUCUAUCUGGGUAAGCACUAAAUAAUAUACACAUGGAACUUGUAACUUGACCAAAUGAUCCUGGCAGAAGAAAUUACUAAAAUAAAAAAUA